rnacentral:rRNA from 1 species
UGGGGAAUCUUGCACAAUGGGGGCAACCCUGAUGCAGCGACGCCGCGUGAGCGAUGAAGCCCUUCGGGGCGUAAAGCUCUUUCGACCGGAACGAUAAUGACGGUACCGGGAGAAGAAGCUGCGGCUAACUACGUGCCAGCAGCCGCGGUAAUACGUAGGCAGCAAGCGUUGUUCGGAGUUACUGGGCGUAAGGAGUGCGUAGGCGGUUUUCUAAGUUCGGUGUGAAAUCUCCCGGCUUAACUGGGAGGGUGCGCCGAAGACUGGGAAGCUGGAGUGUGGGAAAGGCAGGCGGAAUUCCUGGUGUAGCGGUGAAAUGCGUAGAUAUCAGGAGGAACACCGGCGGUGUAGACGGCUUGCUAGACCAUAACUGACGCUGAGGCACGAAAGCGUGGGUAGCAAACA